GACGAACGCUGGCGGCGUGCCUAAUACAUGCAAGUAGAACGCUGAAGAGAGGAGCUUACUCUUCUUGGAUGAGUUGCGAACGGGUGAGUAACGCGUAGGUAACCUGCCUUGUAGCGGGGGAUAACUAUUGGAAACGAUAGCUAAUACCGCAUAACAAUGGAUGACACAUGUCAUUUAUUUGAAAGGGGCAAUUGCUCCACUACAAGAUGGACCUGCGUUGUAUUAGCUAGUAGGUGAGGUAAUGGCUCACCUAGGCGACGAUACAUAGCCGACCUGAGAGGGUGAUCGGCCACACUGGGACUGAGACACGGCCCAGACUCCUACGGGAGGCAGCAGUAGGGAAUCUUCGGCAAUGGGGGCAACCCUGACCGGGCAACGCCGCGUGAGUGAAGAAGGUUUUCGGAUCGUAAAGCUCUGUUGUAAGUCAAGAACGGGUGUGAGAGUGGAAAGUUCACACUGUGACGGUAGCUUACCAGAAAGGGACGGCUAACUACGUG
rnacentral:rRNA from 1 species